UACGAAGGGGGCUAGCGUUGUUCGGAAUUACUGGGCGUAAAGCGCACGUAGGCGGGCCGUUAAGUCGGGGGUGAAAGCCUGGAGCUCAACUCCAGAACUGCCUUCGAUACUGGCGGCCUUGAGUCCGGGAGAGGUGAGUGGAACUCCUAGUGUAGAGGGUGAAAUUCGUAGAUAUUAGGAAGAACACCAGUGGCGAAGGCGGCUCACUGGCCCGGUACUGACGCUGAGGUGCGAAAGCGUGGGGAGCAAACAGG
rnacentral:rRNA from 1 species